CCUACGGGGGGCAGCAGUGAGGAAUAUUGGUCAAUGGGCGAGAGCCUGAACCAGCCAAGUCGCGUGAGGGACGACGGCCCUACGGGUUGUAAACCUCUUUUGCCGGGGGACAAACGGCGGCACGCGUGCCGUCCUGAGGGUACCCGGAGAAAAAGCAUCGGCUAACUCCGUGCCAGCAGCCGCGGUAAUACGGAGGAUGCGAGCGUUAUCCGGAUUUAUUGGGUUUAAAGGGUGCGUAGGCGGGAUGCCAAGUCAGCGGUCAAAUACGGGGGCUCAACCUGCGUCCGCCGUUGAAACUGGCGUUCUUGAGUGGGCGAGAAGUACGCGGAAUGCGUGGUGUAGCGGUGAAAUGCAUAGAUAUCACGCAGAACCCCGAUUGCGAAGGCAGCGUACCGGCGCCCGACUGACGCUGAAGCACGAAAGCGUGGGUAUCGAACA
rnacentral:rRNA from 1 species